ensembl:lncRNA
UUUGUGUACAGUGUGUAUGUUAUCGUGUGUAUGCAUGUGUGUCUUCAUAGUCCCUGCUGUUCCAUAAGGUGUAUUUUUAUCUGUUUUUUAAAUCUAAUUUUACUGCUUGCAUGAGUUACUUGAUGUGGAACAGAGUUCCAUUUGGUCAUGGCUCUAUGUACUACUAUGCGCCUCCCAUAGUUUGUUCUGUUUAGGUUAGUGUGUCGUCAAGGCUUUGUCAUUAAAAUUAUAUUGUGCCUAUUUUUCAGAUCUUCCAACCUGAUCGGUGGUUGACUGGUAACCGUCUUUCCACCAAGCUGUUCCAGGCUUGGAGUGGCACGCUGGAACUUCCAGAUGCUUGUAGACCUGAAGCAGUGUGAUGUAUUCCAGGUAUUUAUCAAACACACAAAUACACACUCAAUCACUCAAUCUGUUUUGUAUAAUUAUUUUAAUUUAAGAAAAUUGUUCUUUUAAAUCUGACAACCACAGUCUUCACAGCUGCAGUCGUUUGCCCCUGCAUCUGCUACACCGGCUACAUACGCACAUGCACACUCUCCCUUACUUGGGGCUCUAUUCAAUCAUGUCCGCUUUAGCCGACAUCCACAUAGAGGUCGUUUUGGCGUUGUCUGAGGUGGAACUGUGUUAGAGCUGUCAAAUUCACAAGCUGCUCCUGGCAUUAUACCUAACAGAGUCACAUUAACAGAAAUCUCAUGCAGCCCUGUUUACAAGUUAGAACACUGGAAUUUGAGAUGUAAUCUACACCUCGAUUAGGCCGAUUGAAAUCCUCAUUAUUUAGUUUAAUGAUUUUGAAUUUGAGCGUCAUUGUUUCUAUAUAACCUAUACUUCCUAGUUUUGAACUUAAUGCGAAUAGGACUGGUGUAGUUUUGUGACAAUGAUCAAGAACUACCGGUUUGACAGAUCCAACGCAGUUACACCUCAGACACCGCCAAAACAUCAGUUAUGCGGGUGUUGGUUAUCGCCGGUUAACGCUUGAUCUGAUUGAAUCUAGGCCUUCCACUCAUUCAGUCUAUUUAGUUGUAUGAUUAUUGUCAGUUAAGAAAAUUGUGCCUCUCUAUUUUAGAUCUGCCAUGCUCAGCAGUUCAGCUGCAGACACAGCAGUCCGCUGGUGUGGUAUUUAGUUUACCAGCUGCACCAGUUCCUACUACACUGGCCGUGAAGGGAGAAACUUUUAAAGAUUACCAGAUGGAUACAGAUCUGCCAUGCUCUCCACCACUGCCUGACAGCUUCACCCAGAAGUGCAUACACUGGGCCUAUCAAGACUGACAAAGCAGAGAUGGGUGGCUGACAAGGAAAAAUAAAAAAACAUGCACACAUUAUCCACAAUGUAAAUAAGUUGUAAUUACUUGUUUAUUUAAUAUUUGCUGCCUUUUAUUUUAGGAUUGGAGAUAUCUACUCCUAUAUAUCCAUUAUCAAUAUCUGCUCUAAAUGCCUAUCAAAUCAAUGUGUGAUUGAAAAUAUUCUAAAAGACUUGUGUGUACAGUUUUAGGAAAUUCUGUGUACUUUUUUUCUGAUUUGAAAAACAUGCUUCCCUCUCUCACACACACACACACUAGACCCAAUGUAAAUAAAUUGUAAUAACUUGUUUAUUUUAUGUAUGCUACAUUUUGUUUGAGGAAAAUAUCUUCAAUAAAGUACAUUUACAGUUAAAGCAA